UAAUUCUGACAUUUCUUCUGA
rnacentral:piRNA from 1 species